rnacentral:misc_RNA from 1 species
UCCCUCUCUCUCUCUCCUAACACAUGCUUCGCUUUUGUUUUUGCUCUCCUAUACAAAUCGUAAGCUCUGAUGUUUCCUAUACCUUUUACAUAAUCCGGUCAUGUUUCCUCCCUUACAACUAAUCUACCUAUGACAGGAUUCGUCUUGUUUCAGUCCAGUGAGAGAAGAAUGAGCAUUAAGAAUCUAAGCAAGCAUGCACUUGAAAUUAUGCUUGGCCCAGUCAGUGUACCCGCUGCAACGAAGCUUAGUGGAGACAAACGAAAAGGAGGGACUGCACGCCUCCCAAUGGUGCCAGUCUAAUACGCAUUUUAGGACAUUAACUCCCUUCAGCACCUCCCGGAUCUAUAUUUGGAUUAUCUCCUAGUCAUCUCAAGGACCAUACACAAUGUAAAGACACUGGGUGGUAAAAAAAAAAUGUUAAUGUGGAGCAAGCAUGAAGGGGCGACAGUGCCCAUGGUGGUGUUCCUACUGCUGGUGCUGACGGGUGGCAGCGCGACAUGUGGGUGCUGGGGGUCGAAUCUAGUGUACCUGCAUCACAAGGCUCCUGCCACCGGCUGGUACACCUUGCACAUCGACAAGGGCAUUUACAUACGAAACAUUAACAUAUCCGGCGAUGAAGUACAAUAUUUACUUGAGUACAAGUUCAGGUUUAAGUACUGGGCGCUCUUCGAGAGAACUCUGAAGAAUGGUAUCAAUCAUGACGGAGAGAUUCUUGUUAUCAGUAACUGGGAGGAGGAGGAGAUAAUUGUUCUGUGCCCAUCUCGGUGCUCCUGUCGGAAGGUUUCAGUAGAAGGGUCAGCAUGCUGGAUAACAAAUGGUAACUACAUUAGAAGUGACAUACUGAAGAAGAGGAAGUCCACCAACCUCCUUGAAGAAGUUUCACUCACUAGGCCAAUGCUUGGGUUUUUACCAAGCCAAGAACAGCAACACAUGAAUUCAGAUGUUCUUCGUAAUGUUAUAACUAUUAGUAAACAGACAGAGCAGCCAAUACAUAAAAGUGAAAUCAAGAGAGUAAACAUUCUCAAACAGUCGAAGUGCUUAUUGGCUGAACUUGCUAAAUGUAUGGAGAGAAAAGACAUCUUUGGUAACCAUAUGUCUGGUUCACAGAAGAAAAGUGAAGAGGAAGGUUGUGAACAGUACACCAAGGUGUUAGUUGAGGACAUGCCACAGGUUGCUGCUAUGUUCACUAAUAUGUCAAAUACACCACAUGAAAAAUACAUUAUGGAAGUGGAGGAGAGAUUUGUUUUGACACAAGCUGAUGAGGGAGGCUUUUGGUGGAUUGAUAGUCCCCAAGUUAUGAUCGUCUGAGUUACGGUCAUCUGUACUUAUGAACGGGAUUCCAUUACAUUCAUCACAAAAAUCUUGGGAGAAAAAGAAGUAUAUGCAAUAAGUGAGGAUGCAGGACCAUGCCCAGACCAGCUGUCUCCUGGCAGUAAAUGGAUUUCAGUGAGUAGCUUGGAAACAAACCAAAAUAUAGACCUCAAUGUAGACAUCAAUAUCACUGUUGUUUGUACUGAAUGGGACUGAAUUGUUCAAUAGACAAUAAUAAAUGUCGAUGUUCCAA